rnacentral:rRNA from 1 species
GAAGGAGGGCUUGCCCUCCGGAUCAGUGGCGAACGGGUGAGUAACACGUGGGCAACCUGCCCCUCACUCUGGGAUAACACCGGGAAACCGGUGCUAAUACCGGAUACGACCAGGCGCGACAUCUCGCCUGGUGGAAAGAAUUUCGGUGAGGGAUGGGCCCGCGGCCUAUCAGCUUGUUGGUGAGGUAAUGGCUCACCAAGGCGACGACGGGUAGCCGGCCUGAGAGGGCGACCGGCCACACUGGGACUGAGACACGGCCCAGACUCCUACGGGAGGCAGCAGUGGGGAAUAUUGCGCAAUGGGCGAAAGCCUGACGCAGCGACGCAGCGUGAGGGACGAAGGCCUUCGGGUUGUAAACCUCUUUCAGCGGGGACGAAGCGAAAGUGACGGUACCCGCAGAAGAAGCACCGGCUAACUACGUGCCAGCAGCCGCGGUAAUACGUAGGGUGCAAGCAUUGUCCGGAUUUAUUGGGCGUAAAGAGCUCGUAGGCGGCUUGUCACGUCGGGUGUGAAAACUCGGGGCUCAACCCCGAGCCUGCACUCGAUACGGGCUAGCUAGAGUGUUGCAGGGGAGACUGGAAUUCCUGGUGUAGCGGUGAAAUGCGCAGAUAUCAGGAGGAACACCGGUGGCGAAGGCGGGUCUCUGGGCAACUACUGACGCUGAGGAGCGAAAGCGUGGGGAGCGAACAGGAUUAGAUA